CCUACGGGAGGCAGCAGUGGGGAAUAUUGCACAAUGGGGGAAACCCUGAUGCAGCGACGCCGCGUGAGUGAAGAAGUAAUUCGUUAUGUAAAGCUCUAUCAGCAGGGAAGAAAAUGACGGUACCUGAGUAAGAAGCCCCGGCUAACUACGUGCCAGCAGCCGCGGUAAUACGGAGGAGGCAAGCGUUAUCCGGAUUUACUGGGUGUAAAGGGAGCGUAGACGGCAGUGCAAGUCUGGAGUGAAAGGCGGGGGCUCAACCCCCGGACUGCUCUGGAAACUGUACGGCUGGAGUGCAGGAGAGGUAAGUGGAAUUCGUGGUGUAGCGGUGAAAUGCGCAGAUAUUACGAGGAACACCAGUGGCGAAGGCGGCUUGCUGGACUGUAACUGACGUUGAGGCUCGAAAGCGUGGGGAGCAAACAGGAUUAGAUACCCGGGUAGUC
rnacentral:rRNA from 1 species